rnacentral:rRNA from 1 species
GACAGAGGGUGCAAACGUUGCUCGGAAUUACUGGGCGUAAAGCGCGUGUAGGCGGCUAUGUAAGUCGGGCGUGAAAUCCCACGGCUCAACCGUGGAAGUGCACCCGAAACUGCGUAGCUAGAGUCCUGGAGAGGAAGGUGGAAUGCUUGGUGUAGAGGUGAAAUUCGUAGAUAUCAAGCGGAACGCCGGUGGCGAAGGCGGCCUUCUGGACAGUGACUGACGCUGAGACGCGAAAGCGUGGGGAGCAAACAGG